rnacentral:rRNA from 1 species
UUGGAGGGCAAGUCUGGUGCCAGCAGCCGCGGUAAUUCCAGCUCCAAUAGCGUAUAUUAAAGUUGUUGCAGUUAAAAAGCUCGUAGUUGAAUUUCGGGAUCAAAUAAUCGGUCGUGCCUCCGGUACGUACUGGUUUUAUUGGUUCCUCCCUUCUGACGAAGCAUGAUGUCAUUAAUUUGAUGUGGUGGAGAAUCAGGACUGUUACCUUGAAAAAAUUAGAGUGUUUAAAGCAGGCUAACGCUUGAAUACAUUAGCAUGGAAUAAUGAAAUAGGACGUUCGACCCUAUUUUGUUGGUUUCUAGGAUCGACGUAAUGAUUAAUAGGGAUAGUUGGGGGCAUUAGUAUUCAAAUGUCAGAGGUGAAAUUCUUGGAUUUAUUGAAGACUAACUACUGCGAAAGCAUUUGCCAAGGAUGUUUUCAUUAAUCAAGAACGAAAGUUAGGGGAUCGAAGACGAUCAGAUACCGUCGUAGUCUUAACCAUAAACUAUGCCGACUAGGAAUCGGGCGUCGUUAUUUUCACGACUCGCUCGGCGCCUUACGGGAAAC